UCCACCCCCAACCUCCCGAGCCCCUAUGCUCUCCCUCGCUCCGAUCUGGUGGAGCCGCCGCCCCCAACCUCGCUCUCCGACUUUGAUCCGCCGCCGCCUCCAACCGCUCCCACCCCUCCCCGCCGUUCCCACCCACCGCCGACCUCCUCAGCCACCCCGCCGACCUCGUCCCUCCCUCCCCUCACCAUCUAUCCCUCCCCUAUGCCCCAGAUCGAGUCGACCACGCGCUAGGGUUCUGUCCCAAGGGCGCGGGGACGAACGCGGACGGCUGGCGCCCGCACACCAUGGGGGAGCUGCUCGAGGAGGCCCCCGCCAGGAGAUCCGCCUCGAGGAGGCACCUCCUCCCUUCCGCCGCCGCCCCCUCCUCCCCCAUCCCGCCGCUGCCUCCCCUUGUCUCCCAAACCGACCACACGCCGGCAGCGAAACAGACAGUAGCUUGGCCAAGAUGGCGGCUGUGGCGCAUGAAGGAGGGGAGCCCGACUACUUGGCGGGGGAGAGGGCCACGGCACAGUUCGUCGUCGACAGCAUGAAGGUCGCCUGGGCCGGUUCCCGCCACGUCAUCGAGGUUGCCGACCGCAUGGCUCGCCUUGUCGCCUCCGACCCCUGGGCACUGAGGCACCGCCGGUGGGAUGAGCGCGGCUCGCUGCCUGGGCCGAACAGAUUCGCAACAUUAUCCUCAACGCUUGGGGCGGAGGCAUUGUUUUCCAACACCAACCCCGAGCUUUCUCCAGCAUUUAUUUGUUCUAUAUGUAUGUACUGUUGGCUGACAUACUUACGUGUUCUUUUUUGUGGAUUAACAGAGGAGGAAGCAAACUUGUUGAAGCAAACUUUCCCGGCAAGAAGGGAUCCCUCAAGUUGGACGAAUGGGUGUUGUGCCGGUUGUACAACAAGAACAACUGGGAGAAGGUCAAGGUGGAGCAGACAUGGCUGUGGAGGCAUGGCCUGGACGCUCGUCAACCUCGGCCACUUCGUGUGGUGUACAGACCAGCAGCCGCCGUAGAUCCUCUCUCCAUACUGUGGCCUAUGGCGUCCGCCGGUGGAUCCUUCGUUGUGGCGCUCGUCGUGUGCUUCCUCGUGGGCACCAACCCACGGUGGCACUUCUGUAUCGUCGCCAUGCCACAGAAGCUGUAGGUCGACUAGCUCAUCACUGUUCACCUCUUGAAGGACAACCCCUUCCAACCUUGUUGUGAGAUACGACCGACUCCCCCCUUCUGUUCCUAGUUGUUCGUGAGCUGGGCACUUGAGAUGAGAUAACUGUGUGUAUCAAACAAAUCAUGACAUCUGCUUCAUUUCAAACAAAUCAACGAGUCAAUAGAUGAUGGACAAGUAUGAGUGUGUGGUGAAGGCCAAUGUUAAUCUGGAGAAGCAAGUUCUGUCCUUGGUUUUGCUCUAUUGGUGAAGCCUCCUCACUGCUAUUCUGCAGGAGAAUUUGAGAUGCACCUCCAACGCCUCAAAAUCCAGCAGAAAAAGAUCUCCUUUGUUCAAGUGUCGAAGUUCCCAGCAAGUCCCAUGAUGAAGAAGCACCCAGCAAGGAGUGCCUCAUUGGAGCUUGUUAUUUUUGAUCUUUUUGUGUAUUAGAAAACUGGAUACUAUGUAUUAUUGUAAUGUACCAAGUUUGGCUGUAUUGAGAAA